rnacentral:rRNA from 1 species
CAGCAGCCGCGGUAAUACAGAGGGUGCGAGCGUUAAUCGGAUUUACUGGGCGUAAAGCGUGCGUAGGCGGCUUUUUAAGUCGGAUGUGAAAUCCCUGAGCUCAACUUAGGAAUUGCAUUCGAUACUGGGAAGCUAGAGUAUGGGAGAGGAUGGUAGAAUUCCAGGUGUAGCGGUGAAAUGCGUAGAGAUCUGGAGGAAUACCGAUGGCGAAGGCAGCCAUCUGGCCUAAUACUGACGCUGAGGUACGAAAGCAUGGGGAGCAAACAGGAUUAGAUACCCCGGUAGUCCCUGUCUCUUAUAC